AUGGCGGCCGCCCUCCACCACCGCCCCCGCUCGCGCUCGCCCCUGCAAGACGAGGAUCUGCUCUCCGAGGUCCUCCUCCGCCUCCCGCCGCAGCCGUCCUCCCUCCCCCGCGCCUCCGCCGUCUGCAAGCGCUGGCGCCGCCUCGUAUCCGACCCCGGCUUCCUCCGCCGCUACCGCCAACACCACCGCCGCAGCCCUCCGCUCCUCGGUUUCUUCCGCAGCGACUAUCCAGGCAUCUCCUACACGCCUGCCAUGGAGGCCCCCGAUCGUGUCCCCGCCGGGCGCUUCUCCUUGAAUCUCAAUGACAGGUACAGUAUCCUCAGCUGCCGCCACGGCCUCGUGCUCAUCUCCCACUCGUUGCGGAACCAGGUCCUGGUGUGGGACCCCGUCACCGGCGACCAGCACCGCGUUGCUGCUCCCCUAGGAAUCGACAUGGCCACUACCCUGAUGGACGGCCAGGUGCUUCGCGCUGCCGCCGACGCCCAGCACUUCCAGGUGGUAUUGGUAAACUACAAGAAGAAAUAUGCACGAGCGAUCGCCGCCAUUUACUCGUCGGAGACCGGUGUGUGGAGUAAUCUCAUCGAAACACCGGUUCCACGUGAGGCCAUGGAAUACGAAAGCAUGCCCCCUGUGCUGGUCGGGGAUUCUCUUUACAUCUUGCUCCCUGGGGAUAGUACAAGUGUAAUUCUUGAGGUUGAUUUGGAUAGCCAGAGCCUAGCUGUGUUAGGUCUGCCAAUGGAUACCUUUGCCAAAGAUCAAUUCUUGAUGGCUAUGCGAGCAGAGGGUGGCGGGCUGGGCGUACUCUCCCUGACAGGAUUCGCCGCCGAGUUAUGGAAGAGGAAUAAGGACUGUGAUGGUGUUGCUUCAUGGGUGCUAGGACGGACUUUUGAAAUGGACAAGCUACUUCCCUUGAAUUCAGAGCAGAUAAGGCACACACCGAUGGUAGCUUAUGCUGAGGAAAAUAAUGUGGCUUUCUUGCGGACAUUUGACAGUAUCUUCAUGGUCCAGCUUGAGUCAUUGCAGUUCAGUAAACUUCCUGAAAACAGUAACUGUGAUAUCUGUUAUCCAUUAGAAAGUGUCUAUGCUUCAGAAACAAGCAUUGGUGGUGGACAUGAUGGAGCUGAUCAAAAUAUGCUGAAUCAAUGA
rnacentral:rRNA from 1 species